CUACGGGUCGCACCAGGCGCGUAACCUUUACAAUGCACGCAAGUGUGAUAAGGGAAUUCCAAGUGCUCAUGUUUUGCAUGGGCUUUUUUCAAGAUUGAAACUCUUGGAGAAUAAGUGGUGGGAAAGACUGGUGCCAGCAGCCGCGGUAACACCAGCGCCACAAGUGGCGAUCAGCAUUAUUGGGCCUAAAGCGUCCGUAGCUGGUUUAAUAAAUUUUCUGUGAAAGUGUCAAGCUUAACUUGCCAUAUUGCAGAAAAGACUGUUAGACUCGAGACCGUGAGGAGUAAGAGGAAUUCUUGGGGAAGCGGUAAAAUGCUAUCAUCCUAAGAAGACCACCGAUGACGAAGGCAUCUUACUAGAACGGUUCUGACAGUGAGGGACGAAAGCCAGGGGAGCAAACCGGAUUAGAUACCCGCGUAGUC
rnacentral:rRNA from 1 species